rnacentral:rRNA from 1 species
UAGGGAAUCUUCGGCAAUGGGGGGAACCCUGACCGAGCAACGCCGCGUGAGUGAAGAAGGUUUUCGGAUCGUAAAGCUCUGUUGUUAAGGAAGAACGAGUGUGAGAAUGGAAAGUUCAUGCUGUGACGGUACUUAACCAGAAAGGGACGGCUAACUACGUGCCAGCAGCCGCGGUAAUACGUAGGUCCCGAGCGUUGUCCGGAUUUAUUGGGCGUAAAGCGAGCGCAGGCGGUUAGAAAAGUCUGAAGUGAAAGGCGGUGGCUCAACCAUUGUAGGCUUUGGAAACUGUUUAACUUGAGUGCAGAAGGGGAGAGUGGAAUUCCGUGUGUAGCGGUGACAUGCGUAGCUAUAUGGAGGAACACCGGUGGCGAAGGCGGCUCUCUGGUCUGUAACUGACGCUGAGGCUCGAAAGCGUGGGGAGCGAACAGG